rnacentral:rRNA from 1 species
GACGAACGCUGGCGGCGUGCUAAACACAUGCAAGUCGAACGGAAAGGCCCUGCUUUUGUGGGGUGCUCGAGUGGCGAACGGGUGAGUAACACGUGAGUAUCCUGCCCUUGACUUUGGGAUAACUUCAGGAAACUGGGGCUAAUACCGGAUAGGAGCUCCUGCUGCAUGGUGGGGGUUGGAAAGUUUCGGCGGUUGGGGAUGGACUCGCGGCUUAUCAGCUUGUUGGUGGGGUAGUGGCUUACCAAGGCUUUGACGGGUAGCCGGCCUGAGAGGGUGACCGGCCACAUUGGGACUGAGAUACGGCCCAGACUCCUACGGGAGGCAGCAGUGGGGAAUAUUGCACAAUGGGCGGAAGCCUGAUGCAGCAACGCCGCGUGCGGGAUGACGGCCUUCGGGUUGUAAACCGCUUUCGCCUGUGACGAAGCGUGAGUGACGGUAAUGGGUAAAGAAGCACCGGCUAACUACGU